AUCGUUCAACUUCAAUAAGAAGUCGGAAGUAAGCGAAAGCUGAAGGAACGCAAC
ncrna:unclassified sequences Glutamine riboswitch